GGCAAUUUAUCUUGCCAUUUGUGCCCCACGCGAUGUUCACGCAGAUGCAUCAAUUAAAACGUAUACCAUCCAUAUGCAGUUGAUCAUACAGCACAAACAUACACCUUUGGUAUAAAUAUUAAAAUCGGAAUCAUGGUAACCUAUCGUGGUCGCUGACGUCACGACGCAAUCAUUCACGUAGCACAAUGUGGAGAGGCUCGCUCAGAUAUGCCUUUCCCGUCUUAUGCUGAGCACACGGGUUCUGCAGGCAGCGCUUCCGUUUUCGGCUUUGGAGAAGAGCGGCGCCGCCAGCGGUGGGACAAGAAUAGGUGAUGUUAAGUGAGCGGAUUUCAAUAAGAAGCAUCCAGGAGCGACGCUGACAUUAGAGAGAGGGACUCUGCUUAACCUCAGGCAAGGCAACGUGACUCGGAGCCCUGUCUCGCAGGACAGAGCAUUGCAAGAUCUUCUUCAAGCACCCUAUCCUCCCCUCGGACCCAGCUCUACGCCGCUCGCCCAUUUUGAUUUUUUUUCCCUCCAUUCUGUCCAUCUGUCUUCAUACAGGAGAAUAACACCCAUUCGCCCCCAUGCAAUUGUGGAUUGAGCGUAAUGGGAACUGUCAAGGCGAGGAAAGCGAGGCGAAGAUGCAGCGGGGUUACCGAAAUGAUGGAGAAUGCACAUAUUUGGGAGAUGUUUUUGUGCGUGUAUGGAGGGGAGGGGAAGGGGGGGGGCAUUUUCAUAUCUGUCCCUCUUUCCGUUUUAUGUUAUUUUUUUUUUAAGUGCAGCGCUGGGCACGGACUUGCCCAUGUUGAACCGUUAGACUGUUGCCCGACUGGCAGUUGAGAGCCAACCGCACCUCUUCUACCCCACCCCCACCCCACUCCACUCUACUUUCACUUUUCCAAAUUGAAGGAAAAAGUUCAGGAGAUCUUAGUAAUGGAGAGAGGACUGAAUUUUAUUGUGUUUUCUUCCAGCAAAGGGACAACGCGCCUCGACACGCGAUCUUUUAAAAGUUUGGAUAUCAAUGGCUAAGAAAGCUAUCAUAUUUAAAUAUAAUUCUCUCAUAUGAUCAAAUGUGGGCGCAGAGUUUAAUGGCUACUGAAAACAAAGAUGCACAUUAAGUACAUGUCAGUUAGAUGAACAAACAAUUUAGCAAACCCUUCAACAUUUCCUGUGUGUUCUAUGUAGAAGAAGGCUGGACGACUGUCGUCGUAUGCACUUUCCUCUCAAACGAUUUAAUAAGGCCUUCUUGUAUGCUUCGUACUAAAGUGAUUGGAAAAAUACAAGGCGUAACUAACACACAAAAACAGCCCCUGCUGGGCUAGGACAAUGAGCAGCAAUCCGCUGUGGACAAUGACUAGGGCAGCCGAAGCUGAUUGUGUUUCAGUGCACGUUCGCAGCAGAUUGAGCAGUUCGAGGACCAACAACAGAUUUGGAGAGACUUCCACGUCGGACACUCUGUGAAAAAAAGAGUGUGGGGAGGAAUGUUAACAAACUUGGGACAAAAUGUGGGGACUUCCAAGUUUUCCAUCCCAGUCCAAUCAGGCACGAGUAAUCGCAACGUUUGAAAUACAUUGCUUCAGAAAGGAGUGGAAGCACAAACCAGCCUGAGCUUCUUAGAAACGUUACAUCACAACAAUGGGGAAAAAACUUCAGAUGUUAUCAUUAAUAUUUAUAAGAAGAUAAUAUUAAACUGCAUUUGGACUUCUGGUUUUUUUUAUAUCUGGGAUUACUGGAGACCAUUGCAUGUAACAAGAUGAGCUGCGUUCAUUCAUCGGACGAGUUCACAGCAGGAUGGACAAAAAAGGAGUUUUGCAGAGGAGGAGGAGGAGGAGGUUCAGCUGAACUUGGAGAACUCGCAACUGUUCAUCGCCACAGGCUGUCCCUGUCUUACCAGAGAGAAUCAAGGUCUACAUAUGCGCACGGCAGCGGAGUGGGCAGGCAAGCUCAAACACCCGGCGGCUUGGUGCCUUUACAAGAGAAAUCAAUACGGAGCAGCGCAGCGGGGUCACACCAGGCAGCCCUCAGCAAGGUGCCAAGGGAGCACACUUUCUCGCGCUGGAACACAACCUCGGCUUCUGUGUGUGGUUUUGCCGAUGGGAGUUUACUCGGUGCUCUCUAAUGUGUAGACCACCGCAGAAAGUUUGCACACUGUUAACAUAAAAGGGAGAAAAAGUGAACGGCAUUCCCCUGUAUGAAGCUGGGCUGUUUUUUUUUUUUUUUUUAACCUGGAGGUGCAGUUUGAACCGUUUCCUUAUUUCAGCACAGAAAGAUUCUUUAUCAUUCUGCCGGGAUUUUUUAAAUCCACCUUAAAAGUUUAUGUGCAUAACCUUGGACAAUAUUCCAUGGCUUUUCUGUAUGUGAUUUGUUGUUGUUUUUUGUAAGCUGCCAGAGCUGGCUUUAAGCACCCCCAAACCCCCCCCCCCCCCAACUGACUUUACCUGUUGACCUUACUCUUCAUGCUCAUGAUGUGAAGCCAAGGAGGAUGCAAACAAAAUCAUUGCAUAUUUUCUUUGGAACAAACUUGUGAGCCACAUGACAAAGUAGUAAUGGCCGCAGUUUAUCCACCUCCUUCCUCCCACUACUUCCGAAUCACCACACUACAACCAAAUGUCUCUGGACUCCAAGAGUUCUGGACCUCUGAAGGGAAUCCCCAAGUGUGCCAGUGGAUCUCAGAUGUAAAAAUGACGAUGAGAUGACCAAAUGAGAGAGAGCUGGCCUGCGCCACAAAUAAUACAUUCAGAUGCCAGACAGAUAUUAAUGUAAGUAUAUGCAAUUUUACAAGAAGAAAAUUCAGACUGACGAAAAAAAUAAUAAAAGGUUUUUAA